GGGGGAGCGAAGCCACGGUUGCCGGGAAGCGCGGGCCACCCCUCCCUCCCUCUCAUUCUUCGUCCUCCCCUCGCGCGCCACCCGUUUUUCCUCUUUCUCCGUUAAUAACGGCUGGGUGGCUGGGGGAGGAGGGAAGGUGGCUCCGGCGGAGUCUGGGCGGGCGCCUCCCACUCAGCCGCCAGUCGCCGUGGGAGCCGGAGGAUGGCGGCGGUAACAGCGGCCGCCGGAGAGGAGGCGGUGGGGAGGCCCGGGGCGCCAAGCGCGACGGCAGAAAGCGGCAGCGGCCCGUCAUGGCGCACCGAAACCAGCGGCAGUCGCACGGCCACCUGAGUCGCCCCUUCCUGCUGGAGCCAGCGAGGGGUGCCUGCAGCCGGGACACCUUCCUCUCCGCGUCUCCUCGUCUCCCGCGCCCGCGUCAGGCCGCCAGCCUUGCCCACCGCCCCGAGAAGAGCGCGCCGGGCGCCGACUGCCCCUCGGGGCGCCGAGCGGCGGCCCUGGACGUGCGGGGGCCUCUCUGGGCCGGCCGCGGCGCCUCGGCCCUGCCCUCUAGCUCCCGCGUUCGCUCCUACCCUCUUGGCUCUCGGGGCACAGCGCGCGGCCCGGUCCGGAGCAGGGCGGACAGGAGCGCCAGGCAGAGCGGCCUGGCCGCCGCUAACGGCGCACGCGCGCGUACUCGGCUCGGAUCUACCUUCCAGUAGCAGCGGAGUGGCCAAUGGGACCGGGACCAGGGCUGGGGGCCGGGGGGCCGCCGCCGCGGGGAGGUUCCCGGCUCAGGUGCCCAGCGCUCACCAGCCCAGCGCCUCGGGCGGCGCCGCGGUGGCCCCGGCAGCCCCGCGCAGCUGUUUCCUGGGGGGCGUGGCGUCGGGGGCCCGCGCGGCGCAGUCCUCCUUCAGCAUCCCGAACAGCAGCAGCGGUCCGCAGGACUCGCAGGACUCGGUGCACAGCAGCCCUGAGGAUGGCGGCGGCGGCGGCCAGCACCGGCCGGUGGGCGGGAGCCCCGGCGGGCCGCGCCUGGUGAUCGGCUCCUUACCAGCUCACCUCUCACCGCGCAUGUUUGGAGGUACGGACCCCUCUCCACGCGCCCGCGCUCGGUUCUCCCGCGGCUGCACGUGGGCCGUGGCCGCCGGCUAUUUUUACCGUUCUCCUUUUCUCCUUCCGCCGGGGCGCCGGGGGCUGCUUCCCGGCCCAGCCCGCCAGGGGCUGCUUCCCGGCCCAGCCCGCGCCGGUCUCCAUCCUGGGAAGAAACCCGGCACGUAACACCUGCGGUGUCGCUGCCGCGUAGACACGUGGUUUUGUUUUUAAACAUCGUGAGCACCCACACCUCAGCGGGUACUCAGUAGAGAUAGUCUAUUUUCCAGUGAGUUGACUGGAGCAAAUGUUGUUUUACAGCAAACCCACGAAAUAGCCCUUGUGGUUGUGGCUUUUAGUACCAGGAAGUCAGGAGGAGACGGUUGCUAAAUGUAGUUCUAUCUGGGGACUCGAGUGGGGCACAAUUUUUAAAAGCCAAAAGUCAGAGGGUCUCAAAUGAACUCUGAGUUACCAUCUUUGGACCGACUUUUAAUAUAAAGCUGUAAUCCUUAAAUCUGUGUCAGUAGUCCCACUUACUAUGUCACUUUAAUUGGAUGAAUGCGUUAAUGAAAAGUUUGUUUUCAAACCUCACUAAACUGCUACUUAAGAUCACAGUUAAUGUGAGUCCUGCUUAAUUUGGAAAGCAUUUAAAAAAUGGAAAAGUUUCUUAGGGAAGUAAAAAUUUUGCAACUCUGCCUACAAGGUACAGUAAUUGGCUAGGUUCUUUUGAAGAGCAGUGUUGACUAGAGUUAAGGAAAAGUCAGUUGUGAAAAAUGGACAUUUUUAAUAGCAAAAUGAUGUGCUUUACUGUAGAAACAGGAGGAAGGGUGCAUUAUCCUGGGGAAAAUGAAUUCUUCAGUUAUGUUUUAUGCUGCUCUACUUUAUUGCAAAACGCUAAUAUUAAAUGAAUCAAGACCACCUCCCCUUCCCGCUUUAUGAAAAUAAAUAGAAGUAUAGAAGAUAAGC